ensembl:lncRNA
CCAGAAUCUUUGUGAUAUUCUCCACUGUAUCCUUCAAUUCUCAACUAAAAAAACAUGUCUUCCCGCAGUGUUAUUACUACAUGCAGUAGGAAGGCCUCAAAGUGAGGAGAUUGCUGUGAGGCCUGUUCACACAGGGACGUUUUUCGACGCCCAGGCGUUAAAUGCGGGCGACGCCCUGAAUGAAAGUGCAAAUCCACUCCCUGACAGUAAAUGGGGUUUAUUUAAAAGCAGAAAUACUCCGGUACACAAGGUGGCGUUGCACAACUUUCCGUUUCUGAUACCUGCUCAUCACUGACAAGAAGAAGAGAGCCAGUAUUUACUUCUUUGCAAAAACUGUUCACACACAUUUAUCGAACUCGCUAAAGCACCUGACUACGAGAUCCAAGCUUCUGACUGAAACACAGCAACUCAAACAACAAAACUCAGGAGCUCCGCAAUCUCCUGCCCAAAUAUCAAAACUCAAAGGUAGGUGUCUGUAUGCAAAUGUAAGAUACAUUCAUGGUCUCAGCAUCGUGCAAUAAUUGUUGUUGGAGUUUGACCAAUGACAGCUGGGGUGGGGAUAAUCUCUUUAGUGUAGGUACCAAGCCAUGAAUAAAAAAAGUAUAUGUCAUCUUUCUUUAGCUCUCUCUUUUGCUGUGUCCGUUGCUCUUUUGCUCCUCUUUCUCUCUUUCCCUGGCAUCUUUGGACAACGAGUACUUCUCCAAGAAGUCCAGCAUGUCUGACGGCUUUCUUUUCCCUGCACUGAACCUCAUCACUGCUGGGCUGGUGAUUGAUACUCCUGAAGAAAUACUUGCAGAUCUUCAAACAAAAUGCAAUAUAAAACAAAGGCCCUGAAGCAGCAAAUCAUCCCCACACCAUCUCACUUCCACCACCAUGCUUGACUGUAGGUUUGAGGAUCAUCAAGGUGUGUUUUGCAAAAAUUCAGAUGAGCCUUAAUGUUCUUCUGGGUUAGCAGUGGUUUUCACCUCACCACUCUUCCAUGGAUGCCAUUUUUGCCCAGUGUCUUUCUGAUCAUUUAAUCAUGAACAGUGACCUUUAUUGAUUCAAGAGAGGUCUGUAGGUCCUUUGUCCUUGUCUUUUUUGUGACUUCCUGGAUGAGUCGUUGCUGUGCUCCUGGAGGAAUUGUGGAAGGUCAGCCACUUCUGGGAAGGUUCAUUACUGUGACACGUUUUUUCCAUUUGGAGAUAAUGUUGUUCCCUGUUGUUCUUUAGAGUCCCAGAGCCUUUGAAAUAGCUUUGUAACCUGUCCCAGACUGAUGUAUUUCAAUCACCUUCUUCCUCAUCAUUUCUGGAAUUUCUUUCAUAAUGUGUUCCUGGGUAAGACAUUUUAACCAAGUUCAUGCUAUUGCCUGGUUGCAUCUAGUGCAGCCGAACCCCAAUGAAUGCAGUUUCAUAGAUUUCCGGAAUUUGUAAACAAUUGGUAUUGGAUGACAUUUUUUGCGUCAAUAAAUAACAUUAUCAUUUAAAAAUUGUAUCUUGU